UACAAAUGUAAUAAAAAUUAUUGUUCGCGAAUAUUCAAUUUGGAAUGCGAUUUUAUUAAUAAAAAAAUACUUAUAACUUAUGCAAAACCCAAGAGAGGCAUUUAUAUUUAUUUCUUUUGCGUUCAUUUUCAAAUUCGCCGUGCAUAUAUUUUUGUGCAUGGCGCUUGAGAGGGCAUCACGUGACUAAAAACGACCAACCAACGACUUCGCUUCGGCCAUCUUGGCAUCUUCAUCUUGGCGACCUUGCCUUGCCGUGGAUUGUUUUUAGUUGCUUGUAUUAUUUGUGCUUUUUAAGAAUAUUUUUUUAAUUCGGAUACUUUUAUAAUAGCUUUAAUAGUAUUAUUAACAUAGUGCAUAAAAUGGUGUCCUGUUUUUAACGCAGUUGGAGUAGCAGAAACAAAUGUAGAUAAAAAAAUCUGCAGGAAUAACGUUUCAAUUAUGACAGAAGCUCAAAACAAAUGACUGUGAAUGAAAAGCCCUAUUAAAAGCUUUCCAGAAGAUCCUGCGAAGAAGACAUGAAGUAUAGAUCAGAUUUGUUAAUAGAGGAGUAUGUUCAAAACACUUUUUAGAAAAAGAUAUUGACAUAACUUCACUUUCAUCUGUUCGUUUGAGAGACUGUGCUGUUCCAAUAGCUUAUGUCACACAGAAUCAGCUGAGAGAAGUGGUCUACAAAAAACCAGAAAGGAAACGGAAUAUGUGGCUACGAAAAGCAAAAGAAAGGUUUACAAAGCAAAUGUGACACAUUUUUUUAUAAUAUUUAGGAAUGUCAGCAAAUUACAUUA